AGAGUUUGAUCCUGGCUCAGAUUGAACGCUGGCGGAAUGCUUUACACAUGCAAGUCGAACGGCAGCACGGGAGCUUGCUCCUGGUGGCGAGUGGCGAACGGNNNNNNNNNNNNNNNNNNNNNNNNNNNNNAUGGGGGAUAACUAUCCGAAAGGAUAGCUAAUACCGCAUACGCCCUGAGGGGGAAAGCGGGGGAUCGUAAGACCUCGCGUUAUUAGAGCGGCCGAUAUCUGAUUAGCUAGUUGGUGGGGUAAAAGCCUACCAAGGCGACGAUCAGUAGCUGGUCUGAGAGGACGACCAGCCACACUGGAACUGAGACACGGUCCAGACUCCUACGGGAGGCAGCAGUGGGGAAUUUUGGACAAUGGGGGCAAGCCUGAUCCAGCCAUUCCGCGUGAGUGAAGAAGGCCUUCGGGUUGUAAAGCUCUUUCGCAAGGGAAGAAACGAUGCAGUCGAAUAAACUGCGUUAAUGACGGUACAAUAAGAGGAAGCACCGGCUAACUCCGUGCCAGCAGCCGCGGUAAUACGGAGGGUGCAAGCGUUGUUCGGAAUUAUUGGGCGUAAAGCGCGUGUAGGCGGUUUGUUAAGUCUGGUGUGAAAGCCCUGGGCUCAACCUGGGAAGUGCAUUGGAAACUGGUAGACUUGAGUGCAAGAGAGGGAAGUGGAAUUCCUAGUGUAGCGGUGAAAUGCGUAGAUAUUAGGAGGAACACCAGUGGCGAAGGCGACUUUCUGGACUGUAACUGACGCUGAGGCGCGAAAAGCGUGGGGAUCAAACAGGAUUAGAUACCCUGGUAGUCCACGCCGUAAACGAUGAGUGCUAGGUGUCGGGGGUAUCGACCCCCUCGGUGCCACAGCUAACGCAAUAAGCACUCCGCCUGGGGAGUACGGCCGCAAGGUUGAAACUCAAAGGAAUUGACGGGGGCCCGCACAAGCGGUGGAGCAUGUGGUUUAAUUCGACGCAACGCGAAGAACCUUACCAGGGCUUGACAUCCUACGAAUCCUUAGGAAACUAGGGAGUGCCCUUCGGGGAGCGUAGAGACAGGUGGUGCAUGGUUGUCGUCAGCUCGUGUCGUGAGAUGUUGGGUUAAGUCCCGCAACGAGCGCAACCCCUGUGUUUAGUUGCUAACGUUUAAGGCGAGCACUCUAGACAGACUGCCGGUGAUAAACCGGAGGAAGGUGGGGAUGACGUCAAAUCAUCAUGCCCCUUAUGUUGUAAGACUACACACGUGCUACAAUGGCCUGUACAGACGGAAGCGAAGCCGCGAGGUGAAGCCAAUCCGAGAAAGCCGGUCUCAGUUCGGAUUGCAGGCUGCAACUCGCCUGCAUGAAGUCGGAAUCGCUAGUAAUCGCAGGUCAGCAUACUGCGGUGAAUACGUUCCCGGGCCUUGUACACACCGCCCGUCACACCACGAAAGUCUGCAACACCCGAAGCCGGUGAGGUAACCCGUAAGGGAGCUAGCCGUCGAAGGUGGGGCCGAUGAUUGGGGUGAAGUCGUAACAAGGUAACC
rnacentral:rRNA from 1 species